GUAUGAAGCAAUCUGAUUCUGGCACUCCCAGUAUCCUGGAGCAGGGAGAUCCAUGGUUUUGUCUGUGUGCUGUAGGGAAGCAGCAUCUCCUGUUGGCCUCCCACAGCUGAUUUCAUUUACUCUUCUUGUUUCCAAGGAGGAAAUAAGAAAUUGUUUGCUAUUCACCCAGGUAUUUUACACUUCUGUUCUUCCAUUUCACCCUCCUGCUUUCAGACUGUUUCCCAGAAAUUAACAACCUGUUCCUGCCUCCAAUUGCCAGUCACCUGCUCUGUGGAAAAAGAUCCAAGCAGCAUUUACAACAGCCAGCCUCUUGCUUCAUUCCUCCUCUCCUUGUUGGUUCCUGACUCUUGAGUGGAGUUAGGCCACAUGAAACUGCAAAAAGGGUGAAGCCAGUAUGGAUAAGAUGAUUAAAUGCUCCUCAGAAUACAAAGAGAUGAGUCCAGUCUUUGAAGGAUGCUGCUUCAUUUUUAGAACCUUGUGAUAAAGAAGAUUUUGAAGAGACCGGUGUCCUCACUUUUCCCAGUCUGAAACAUGAUGGAUGGACCUGUGUGAGCCUCUCAGAUCUGUACAUUUCAGCAGAAAAGAAGCAUUUCUGAGCCCUUGUCUAAUUGAAUGCAUCAGGAAAACUUUGUCAAGAGACCUGCUGAUGAGUGAGACCUUUGCAGAAGCUGUAGAAAUCCAGCAAGAGGAACUCACUGCCCAGAAUUUACACUGGAGUUUGGGGAGCGAGGGGGUGAAAGCCAAAGGGGUUAAAAUCCAGCUCCUGGACACCUGUGAAUAUUAAAACACGUCUGCUUUUAAAUGAGUUUUUCCCUUAUGGUUUACAUAAAUUUGACAGCCAACUACAGAAAUCAAGUUGUCCUUUAUGUACAUGACAAAAUCUCAUUAAUUAUUUUACAAAAUUGAGAGUAACUUUCUUUAUGCUUGUGGCUGGCAAUACCAUGAAACUUGAGAGAAACAGAGACUGAAUGAUAUUACCAGAAACAAUGAGGUUCAGCAAAGUUAAACAGUCCACACAAAAUGACGUAAAAUAAAUGAAGACUUUUAAAAUUCCUCUGUUUUUCA
rnacentral:lncRNA from 1 species